AGCCAGGUAAUGAGGAAAAGGAAGUCUUGGGAAACCACCCCUGGUUGCCCAGGACAGGAAAGCCAUGCAGCGUCCAGAAGCUGGAAAGCCUUUAAUUAAAUUCAACCACUGUAAGAAAUACAUCUACAGUUUCAGCGUGCCCCAAUGCUGCCCCCUCUGCGGCCAGGUCAUGGGCUCAAUGAAGCUGGAGGAAGCACCCGUUAGCAUCUCCAAUCCGUUUACCAACGGGCAUCAAGAAAAAUGUUCAUUCCUCCUCAGACCAACUCAAGGGACGUUUCUUAGGGAGUACGAUGGAAGGUCCGAUCUUCAUGUCGGAAUAACCAACACAAAUGGAAUCGUGUAUAAUUACACCACGUGUGGCGUGCAGCGAGAUGAAGCAGGGUGGGAGCAGAGCGUGAGUAUCCCGUUACUGCAGCCUGGCAUGUUUGGACUGAUGGAUCAGUGGGACAAGUACCUGGAAGACUUCUCCGCCACGGAGGCCUGGCUGCCGGAGAGGUAUGAAGAAGACCAUCACAACUGCUACAGCUACACCCUCACAUUCAUUAACUGCGUUCUGACCACAGAAGGCAAGGAGCAACUGGGCAAAGGUGAGUUCACAGAGAAGUAUGUGGUUCCAAGGACGAGGAAGGCCUCCAAGUACAUCACGCUCUACCGGGCGAUAGAGGAACGUGGCUUCUACGUGACCGACUGCCCUGAUGAAGAGACGAACCCUCCUGAAGGGAGUGGUUCGUGCUGAGGGCGCUAAGAGCACACAGACGGCACCGUUAGCUGGUAUGAAGGAUUUCUACGUGUGUUCAUCUGCGGAUGAAAAGGGAAACUGAAGAAAUGACUUGCCCAAAGUCACACAGAGGGAAAACCAGAGAUCAGACCUAGGUUUGCCUGCAAAGUCUGUGCACUUACCUCCCUGGGCCACCCAGCAACCUGAAGGCAAC